AUUAGUGUUGGACGAAGUGUCGUUAGUCUCCAUAACACAACAGAUCAACGUACGAGACGUAAAUUUUUUCUUCCUGUAAACAACAGUUAUCUUGAUUUGGCUGUUGCUAUACACAGUAACACUCCUGACUCAAACGCGACAAGCACUUUUCACUUUCCUUUGUGUCGACCCAACACAUACUAUCGUAAAAUUAAAGGAACAUUGAAUUGCACGUGUAUGGAAGGAUACUUAGGAGAAUGUAACUUGUGCCAAGGUAUUGAAAGACUUGUUCUAUACAACAUCUGCC